GGAGGAGCUGCGGGAUGGGGCGGUCUGAACAUUGUCCUGUGAUGUACGUGCCCUACUUCCACAUUCCGGAGGGGAAAUUAAGAAAGUCACGGGGAAAGAAACAUCGCCCUUCUCAGCCGGCAUCGCCGAGAGACCACCCGUCCCUCUAGGUCACUCUGCCCCACAGGAGACAGCUCUUCCAGAAUACUUCGCAGUCACACAGUUGUGUCCGACUCUUUGCGACCCAGUGGACUGCAGCACGCCAGGCUUAUCU